rnacentral:misc_RNA from 1 species
ACAAUGAGCCCGCGUAAAG